UCGCGUGUUAAGAACGUGAAAAACAGUGUGUAAACACAUUUUUAGCCUAUAUAAUAUGAGUCACUGACGGUGAAUCCGAAUCCAAUGGGCACUAUAUAAUUGAAAGAAAAAAAAAACAUCCAUGAUCAGGUCCGAGCACUAGGACUCAAUACAUUUCCACAUUACAAAACUACCUUACCUUAUUCUUGUUCUAUCUAAUUUCUAUGACGCAGAGAACCCAGGGACGACCUUUGCAACAUCUGCCUCUGUCUCUCUCUCUCUCAGCCCUUCAACCCCUUUUUAUGACAACCCAUAAUUCUUCUUCUUCUUCAUCUCUUGUCUUGUCUUGUGCCCCUCACCACCUCCUUCAUAUCAAUCCUUUUCACUCUAUGCAACACCAAAACUUUUAUUUUUCUCAAUCUCAAAGAUUGGUCUCUCUGAGUAUCAGAUUGUGCAACAGAUUUUCAAGGCUCAGACUAAAUAAUUGUGUCUAUUGGAUGAUGUGAGAUCAUGUGAGGAAGAUGAGAGAGAAAAGGAAAAAAAAAAAAAAAGAGGCUUUGCUGUACUUUCAGUGCUAAAGAAAGGAGGAUAAGAAGUUGGGAGUACUCAAUUUGUUCAAUGGCAAUUCAUCAGGGGCUGCUUAAAUGCUGGGAUGGUUCCACUCCUGCUAGUCAGUGGAAAGUUUUUUUUUUCUUCUUUUUCAACGAAAGAAACUCAUUUUUUUUUCUUACAUUAAGCUAGAAGAAUGUUUGAAAUCCACAGAUUAUUAUCAGUAAAUAUAUGACUUCCACCCCGAUUUCCUGUAUGCCAGUAGAACAUGGAACAUGAAGCAUGUAACCUUUUUAAAAGCUAAAAUUGCUUUCAUUUCCCCACUUGUCUACUGUGGGUUGUGGCUUUCUCUGAUGUGGUAAUGGCAUUCACCAGAGAAGGGGGACUCUGUGAUGAGGGAGAAGUAAGAAAAUUUGUAUUUAGUAUUAUUUUUGUUUGCAACUCAAUUGUAUUUGUAUGUUUUAGGUCCUAGUAGUUUAUUAGGCUAUUAGUAUUUUAAUUUGGAAGCAAGGUUAUUUAUAAUAAGACAAUUAGGGUUUCCUAGCCAAUUAGAACUAGGGUUUAGUAAUCAUUUAUAAGCAACCUAUUGUACUCCUUGAUGAGUUAGUUGAUAUUUUGAUGAAUGAAAAAAAUACACCUUUGGUCUCUUCUUGGCCUGGUGUUGACUCCAGGCCCACCCUAGGUACUGACUCUUAAUGGUUUCCCUACUUGGUGCUGACUCCAAGUAAGGCAUAGGUGCUGACUCCUAGAUCAUAUCCUUUAUUUUCUAGUUGUUUCAUUUUGUUUUGGUUGUGCUGCGUCACUUUGAGGCUCACAUUACACCUCAAUUGGGGUGGUCUUCUAUAAUUUGGCUUUUGUGUGCAUUUAGUGCAUGGGCUCAUCACACACAAACACAUGCAUACAUUUGUGUACAUAGUUUUAGGUCUUGACGCAGGUUGCAAGUUGGUGGGGUGGGGUUUGGACAAAUCAUAGGUUCAGGUGAUGAAAAGACAAACAAAUUGUAGGAUAUUUCUUUUCAAAAAAAAAAAAAAACUAUAAAUUGUAGGUUUUUAUUUUAUUUUUUUGGAUAGAUAACAAAAAAUUUUAUUAAUAAAAAAUAAAGAACCCGAGUACAUUAGGGAUGUACUAUGGGGACAAAAAUCAAGAACCAAGAUUACAAUGAUCAAAUAAAAUGUGAAGGAAAAUAAAAGAAAAAUGCGACAGAGCCACUCCAAAUAAGGAGAGCAUGUAAGAAAAAUGACUUAAUCUGUAGUAAGGACUGUUCACAUCCCUCAAAGCAUCUAGCAUUUCUUUCACUCUAAAUACACCAUCGUAGAUAUUAGACUCUUUGAUAUCUCAAAGUACCAUCAUAAAUAUAAAGCUAAGUUCUUCAGUUUGCCCUUGAAAUCUUUUUAAGCGUGGCCUAUUAGAUAACUGGUCCCAUCCUUUUCGUGCAAACAUUAUUGGUUAUUAUUGUACUUAAAGAAGGUUGCUUGCACUCAGAUUUCAGACAGUUUGUCUUUUAUGUGUUUCCUUUGGGCUCCAUUGACACUAAAUAUAUUAUUUGUUAUAUCAAGAAAAAUAAAACUUUGCUGUGGAAUGUAUUCUUGAAUGAAUACUUGUCUUCUGGGAGAACCACAGAGAAUACAGUUGGUGGACACGAAAUGCCUAGCCUGGACUAUAGAUGAUUGUAUUUUCCUUGGUGGUUUAUCAGAACGAAACUCGUUGCUAAAAAUUUUGAUUACUUAGGUUCCCUGUUUCUUGUUAGUCUCAGGACCAAUUGAUUAUUGGUCGACAUGAUGAAUUAACUACCUUUCUUUUUCCCCUUUUUUUUAGCUUUAAUUUUUAUAAAAAGUUCAUAAUCCUUCCAUAACAGAUUUGAUUGAUUCUCAAGAUUACCCAGGAAUCCAUACAUAAUCGGAAAAGUAGUGAUGAUGACAGUCUUAGAGGUCACAAAUGAUUAAAGUCUUGGAGGUCAGCACAGCCCACGAUACAUAGCAUAUCAUAAAAUCUUUAGCAACAUGUAAUUAACAUCGAGUAUUCUACCCUACCUACCUUGAAACAUUUAUUAGUCCCGGAAAUUUUCUCAAGUAUUCAUGUUCCAAACCUAUUGAUAGUUUGGUAGCUCAAGUGCUCAACUGACACCACUUGAUAUUUUCGGCGAAGAUAUCUAUAAUUCAAAUUCCUUCCCCUUAUUUUAAAUAUUGAAUUAUUAAAAAAAAUAGUUAUCUUCUGAAUUUAAAUGUAACUACUAAUCCUUUAGUGGACCGUAUUAGAGAAUUUGCAUGACUGUAUUAGCAUUAAGUAUUGUCUUUUUUUGGGGGGAAGGUUUGGUUGUGUUAUGUCAUGACUCUUGACUCUUUAUUCUUUCUUUUCUUUCUUUUUUUGGCUAAAUCUGGACUCUUUUUUCAUGGCCGACUGGGUGUGGAAAAAUUGUAUGUGACGAAGAGUGUAAUUUUCUUUUUCCUGUGAUGUGACAUUGGCUGGUGUACAAGACUUUCCUAGAAAGUGGUAGAAUAUUAAAUAUAGAGCCCGUUUUCCCGCUUUAAAGUGCUUCCAACGAUAAAAGUUGUUAGGUCUAGACACUUUUGACUUUCAUGAAAGCACAGCAUAUUUUAUUUUUCUCACCUUCUGUCUCUCUUGAACAAUUUACUAGUUGUAACUAAUAAGCAUUUCCUCAGUAAAUUUAUUCCUCCAUGUACAACAUAAUUUUUAUUUGCAAUAAUUUAAAAAAAAAAAACUAUUUCUUUUGCUAUUUUGCAUCAAACCUAAAUUUUUAUUUUAAUUGAAAAGUAACUUAUCCGUUAGUAGCAAACUUUUACUCAUUUUUAUCUAAACCUAUUUCAUACAUAAUUUUUUUUUAAUCUUAUCACUAACAUUCUGCCACGUUAACAAAUUUCAAAUUUUGUGUAACUAUAUCCACAUAGUAUCAUUAAAUGUAAAUGUGAUGGUCUAUAGCUAUUUAUGAAUCUAGAUGGGCACUACAUAAAUGCAUAGCUGGAUCCCCAGUCCUUCCCUUUCCCCUGCUUGUAUUUUUUUCUUUCUUUGUCUAUUCUUUUUUAGGGAGACAAAGGACAGAAACUGGUUGAACCUGCAACACAGAAACUAGAGUAUAGAGUAGGUGCCAAAUUGCCAUUCAAGCUUAGCCUAUUUUUAUAGUGGUAGAAGGGUGUCUUCAUAUGGACCCCACAUUAUCUCUCUACCACUCAUAACUUACUAUGUGGGUGAGUUAUGGUAUCAGCGUAACUCAUUUUUUUAUUUGUUAUUUGGAUGGUAUUGCCUUCAAAUUUUUUACCCAUUAUUAAAGGUUUAUUUGAGAUCUGUUUAUUUUGUUGAAAUUGAAAUUUUUUGGUUAAAAGUACGGUAGAUAAAAGUAAAAGUU